rnacentral:sRNA from 1 species
GGAGGCGGCGACGCCCCCCCCGACUUGAGGCUGGUGAGAGCCAGCCAGCCGUCUCCGCACCCCCUUUUCUCGAUGAUGCAGACUUCAAGGGGCGGAUCGAAAGAUCCGCCC